rnacentral:rRNA from 1 species
GACGAACGCUGGCGGCGUGCUUAACACAUGCAAGUCGAACGGAAAGGCCUGCUUUCCCUUGUGGAUUGCGGGUACUCGAGUGGCGAACGGGUGAGUAACACGUGAGUGAUCUGCCCCCAACUUGGGUAUAAGCCUGGGAAACUGGGUCUAAUUCCCGAUAGGCCUGCAGGGUGGUGCCUUUGGUGGAAAACGAUUUUCUAGUGGUUGGGGAUGAGCUCGCGGCCUAUCAGCUUGUUGGUGGGGUAAUGGCCUACCAAGGCGGCGACGGGUAGCCGGCCUGGGAGGGUGGACAGCCACAUUGGGACUGAGAUACGGCCCAGACUCCUACGGGAGGCAGCAGUGGGGAAUAUUGCACAAUGGGCGGAAGCCUGAUGCAGCGACGCCGCGUGGGGGAUGACGGCCUUCGGGUUGUAAACUCCUUUCGACCGCGAGGAAGCCACCUGGUUGGAAGGGUGGUGACGGUAGUGGUAGAAGAAGCACCGGCUAACUACGUG